ensembl:lncRNA
AUCCGAGUCAUUUGCCGACCGUGUUUUUGGACAGGAGCACAACACAUUCCAUCCAACCCUGUAGGCUACUUUCCCUAAUCAUGUGUCUCUAUAUAGUCGCCGACACCGGAAACAGCUGUGUAUCCUAUUAUUCCUAGCACUUGGAUAACUAAGUUUUGGCAUUUUAAAGGUGGAUCAGUGUAAUAGUCUAUAUAAAAAAAUCUGUAUGAAAAAACACAUUUUUCACAACAACCGGCUGGAUGAUGCUGUGCAUGUGUGCGUAAAGUCUACAUUUUCUUCUGAACUUGGCGAUAAACGUCAGCUAUUCAAGGAAAACGGGCACUACAGAUGUGUAUAGCCAGGACAUCUGCUCUCUCUUUGGC